rnacentral:snRNA from 2 species
UGGCGUGAGGGCGAUCUGGCUGCGACAUCUGUCACCCCAUUGAUCGCCAGGGUUGAUUCGGCUGAUCUGGCUGGCUAGGCGGGUGUCCCCUUCCUCCCUCACCGCUCCAUGUGCGUCCCUCCCGAAGCUGCGCGCUCGGUCGAAGAGGACGACCUUCCCCGAAUAGAGGAGGACCGGUCUUCGGUCAAGGGUAUACGAGUAGCUGCGCUCCCCUGCUAGAACCUCCAAACAAGCUCUCAUGGACUUUUCUUUGCCAACAUUUCUUCCUGCUUCAACUUUUUCCUUCUCCAUCUGUUUUUGCAUACAAGUGGGCAAUGCAAA